rnacentral:rRNA from 1 species
AAUAAGCGCACACGGUGGAUGCCUAGGCGGUCAGAGGCGAUGAAGGACGUGGUAGCCUGCGAAAAGUGUCGGGGAGCUGGCAACAAGCUUUGAUCCGGCAAUAUCCGAAUGGGGAAACCCACUGCUUCGGCAGUAUCUUGCAGUGAAUUCAUAGCUGCUUGAAGCGAACCCGGUGAACUGAAAUAUCUAAGUAACCGGAGGAAAAGAAAUCAACCGAGAUUCCCUGAGUAGUGACGAGCGAACGGGGAACAGCCCUUAAGCUGGAAUGGCUUUAGAAAAACAAUCUGGAAAGAUUGGCCAUAGAAGGUGAUAGCCCUGUAUUUAAAAGGGCCACUCCAGUGAAGACGAGUAGGGCGGGGCACGUGAAACCCUGUCUGAAUAUGGGGGGACCAUCCUCCAAGGCUAAAUACUCCUGAAAGACCGAUAGUGAACAAGUACUGUGAAGGAAAGGUGAAAAGCACUUCGAAUAGAAGGGUGAAAUAGAACCUGAAACCGUACGCCUACAAGCGGUCGGAGCACCUAUAUGGUGUGACGGCGUGCCUUUUGCAUAAUGAGCCUACGAGUUAAUUUUACUAGCGAGGUUAAGGACUUCAGGUCCGGAGCCGGAGCGAAAGCGAGUCUGAAUAGGGCGCAUAGUUAGUAGGAUUAGACGCGAAACCUUGUGAUCUACCCAUGGGCAGGUUGAAGCUCUGGUAACACAGAGUGGAGGACCGAACCGGUUGACGUUGAAAAGUCUUCGGAUGACCUGUGGGUAGGGGUGAAAGGCCAAUCAAACUCCGUGAUAGCUGGUUCUCCCCGAAAUGCAUUUAGGUGCAGCGUUGCGUGGUU